AGGACAUUAUAAAAGAAAUUAUUUCCAGGAAUUAAUUGAGGAACAAAUAUCCUCAAAAAAUAAAAGUGACUGUCUAUCUUCACUGGAUGUCUUUAAGAUUAACCCUUCUUCCUGCCUGAAAUGCAGACAUGAAGAAAUCCUGAGGAUGGAAACCAUGAGCUAAAAAUGGCAGAGCACAGUGACGGAAGCAAUCUGUAUCUCUAGUAUCUGUGGAGCUGCCGUAUCAACUCUAGACUGCCGGUCUCAGAUUUCAUUCCAGAGAAAAAUAAGCACUAUUCAAGAAUAAUCCCAAAGUUACUUGGGAUUUCUGUUAUAUGCAGCUGAAUUUAAUCCAACUGAUACAGUAGGGCCAAAAAAAAAAAAAAUCUUCUAUGUUAUAAUCACAAAUAUCUUUUAAACAUAUUUAUACAUGUAUUUUAAAUAGGAAAAAUUCUAUCAGUUGAUUGUUGAUAUCACUGAUUAUUUAUAGGUGAUGAGAUUGUAGAUUAUCAUAAUGAUCAUAAACUUUAUAUUUCUUAUAUUUUCUAAAUUUCCCACAAUGAGCACAUACAUUUUAUAAUUUAAAAGUCUCAUUGAAAAUUGUCCUCUCCACCCUGUAAAAUACAUGCAUGUCACUCUCUAAACUACUUACCAAUUUUGCCUUAAUGGUACCAGAGUCAACACUUUGACCAGUUUUAGCAUGAAGCUGAAGCUGAAUAGAGUGCAGCUGUAAAAGCUGAUCAUGUACUUCUUUCUCCAAAACAACUUUCUCUGCUUGGGUUUCUGUCAGUUCAGAUUUCAGAUCCACCAACUGUGCCUUAUAAAGAAAACAAUAAAAGAAAUUAAGGAUG